GGAGAGUGGAGAGAGACAAUGAUGUGAAGCAGCUUCUUGAGACCAGCAGACUGCAAUUAAAGGAGAAAAUCAUGAGUUACUAUAGAACCCCAGCCCUAGCGUUUUAAUUAGGGUAGAAAGAUUCUUCCAUUGCUGAAAUUCAAAGACCAGGUUACAACAAGGUGGCAGAGACGCAAUGUGAUGAAAGGGUGGCAGCCCCGGAAAACCAGAGAGCUGGAUUUGUUGUGACAACUACAUGAUUUCCUUUUUUUUAACCCUGCUGCAGUGGUGUAAUGACACCAAGGUGGAAAAUGCUGAGCCUGACCUUGCUCAGAGCAUGUGAAAUCCCCAGUGCUCAUGGGCUGCUGCAGCCCAUGAAAAGGAGAAUGUUACAGACUUACAAGGAGACUGUAACCAUGCCGGAAACCCCAAAUGGCCUCAUUUAGAUAAGGGAGAGCUUUCAGCUGGAAAAUAAACCCUCUCCUUGCUUCUCCACAUGAUUCUUCUAGAUGCCAGCAAAGAUCUGUUUGGCCAUGUGACUUUCAGUGAAAAUGCAAAAUGAAAACCAGCAGUGCAUGGAAUAUAAACCAGAACAUUAGCAAUGAAAACCUCUGAG